rnacentral:tRNA from 1 species
UGGCUCAGACAGUAAAGCAUCUGCCUGCAAUGCGGGAGACCCAGGUUCGAUCCCUGG